ACACGGAAUCGAGAGCUCCAAGU
rnacentral:snRNA from 1 species